rnacentral:rRNA from 1 species
AUUGAACGCUGGCGGCAAGCCUAACACAUGCAAGUCGAGCGGAGCCAUGGACGGGUGCGUAAUGCUUAGGCAUCUGCCUCGUCGUGUUGGAUAACGUCCGCAAACGGGCACUAAUACCGCAUACUAUCGGAUGAGCCUCGGUCGGUUUAGCUAGCUGGUGGGGUAAAGGCCUAGCUAGGCGAAGCUCCGUAACUGGUCUGAGAGGACGAUCAGUCACACUGGAACUGAGACACGGGCCAGAAUCCUAAGGGAGGCAGCAGUGGGGAAUAGUGGACAAUGGGCGAAAGACUGAUGCAGUCAUGCCGCGUGUGUGAAGAAGGUCGUAGGAUUGUAAAGCACUUUAAGAAUGGAGGCGUGAACAAAAGAAGAAGCACCGGCUAACUACGUGCCAGCAGACGCGGUAAUAA